UACAGAGGGUGCAAGCGUUAAUCGGGAUUACUGGGCGUAAAGCGUGCGUAGACGGUAGCGUAAGUCGGGUGUGAAAGCCCCGGGCUCAACCUGGGAAUUGCAUUCGAGACUGCUCUGCUAGGGUGCGGAAGAGGGAAGCGGAAUUUCCGGUGUAGCGGUGAAAUGCGUAGAUAUCGGAAGGAACACCAGUGGCGAAAGCGGCUUCCUGGUCCAGCACCGACGUUCAGGCACGAAAGCGUGGGGAGCAAACAGG
rnacentral:rRNA from 1 species